UAAAUUGAGUCAUGAUGUCCGGGCAAAA
rnacentral:sRNA from 1 species